rnacentral:rRNA from 1 species
ACUCAAAGGAAUAGACGGGGACCCGCACAAGCAGAGGAUGAUGUGGUUUAAUUCGAGGCUACGCGUAGAACCUUACCCAGGUUUGACAUCCCAGGAAUCCGCUAGAAACAGUGGAGUGCCUUCGGGAACCUGGUGACAGAUGCUGCAUGGCCGUCGUCAGCUCGUGUCGUGAGAUGUUGGGUUAAGUCCCGCAACGAGCGCAACCCUUAUCGUAUGUUGUAUUUUUCAUACGAGACUGCCCGAGACAAUCGGGAGGAAGGUGGGGAUGAGGUCAGGUCUGCAUGGCUCUUACACCUGGGGCUACACACGUCAUACAAUGGCCGGCACAAUGCGUUGCCAAAUCGUGAGAUGGAGCUAAUCGCACCAAAACCGGUCCCAGUUCGGAUUGCAGGCUGCAACUCGCCUGCAUGAAGUCGGAUUUGCUAGUAAAUGUGGGUCAGCAUACCACAUUGAAUACGUUCCCGGGUCUUGCACACACCGCCCGU